CGGAAAUAAGACGAGCAGACGACUCUUUCAUUGCGAAAAAUCGAUGGCAAAAGAGAUUCCGCGAAAUUUCGAUUCCUUGCGCUUCAAAUUCUCUGUUUAUUUUCCAAUUUAAGAUCUCUGAUAAUUAUUUCACGCAGAUCAGAAUCUCUUCUUCUCAUAUACAAAUCAAAAUUCCCUCUUUUCCAAUCUAUCAUUCGUCCAAAAAAAAAGAAAAAAACAGAGCCUAUUGAAGAGCUAUGCUUCACAAGAGCUUCAAGCCGGCGAAAUGCAAAACGGCUUUGAAGCUAGCGGCUUCGCGCAUAAAGUUAUUGAAGAAUAAGAGAGAUGCACAGGUGAAACAGCUGAAGAGGGAAUUGGCUCAAUUGCUGGAGACUGGCCAGGACCAGACUGCCAGAAUUCGGGUUGAGCAUGUGGUUCGGGAAGAGAAGACAAUGGCUGCAUAUGAUCUUAUUGAGAUAUACUGUGAACUUAUUGUAGCGCGCUUGUCAAUCAUUGAGUCGCAAAAAAAAUUGUCCCAUUGACUUGAAGGAAGCAAUCGCAAGUGUAAUUUUUGCAUCUCCAAGAUGUGCGGAUAUACCUGAAUUGAUGGAUGUCCGGAAGCAUUUUACGGCAAAAUAUGGGAAAGAAUUUGUCUCUGCAUCUGUUGAACUACGUCCAGAUUGUGGUGUCAGCCGCCUGCUGGUGGAAAAACUGUCAGCCAAAUCACCUGAUGGUCCCACCAAAAUAAAAAUUCUGAGUGCCAUCGCUGAGGAACAUAAUGUUAAAUGGGAUCCUACAUCAUUUGGAGAGAAAGAUAUGAAGCCUCACGAGGACUUGCUGAAUGGACCAAAUACAUUUGAGCAGGCCAGUAAAAUGCAUGUAGAGGCUGCUAAUGUCCAAGAGCGACCAAAUAGUUUUGACAAAGGGCACCCUAAUUUCAAAGCUCCUUCCAAUUACUAUGAAAAACAUGAAAACGCUGUCAACUCAUAUGCAUCCAAUUCAAAAUCAUCACCACAUUCCCAAAAUGUUCCUUUUCCAGCUGUGGGUACUAGUCAGGCAAUGCCAUCAGGGACAUCCAAUCUUGAUCCAAGAUCUAUUGGAACUGGAUCUGAAGAGAUAGAAUUUAGGCAUUCGUUUGCUGCAGAACAAAGUGGUUUUUCUGUGGGUAUGCAGAGUUGGAAUAUGGAAUUCAAGGAUGCGACAGCAGCUGCACAGGCAGCUGCUGAAUCUGCAGAACGGGCAAGCAUGGCUGCCAGGGCCGCCCAACUUUCAAGCCAAGAAAGGAUAACCAGGCAGCACCCAACAGAAUCAAGGAAGGCCUCAGUUUCCAGAUCAAGAGAUGAAGGGCUUCAAACAUAUGGCAGCUCCAGAGUGCAAGGUGAAUAUCUUGCCAAAGAUCCUGUAACUAAUACCCCUCAUAGAAAUAAUUCUGGCAUGAAUCAUGAACAGAGUUUUGAAAAUGAACAAGAUGACCUGGCGGGAUUGGCUGAAAGGUUUAACAAUCUUAAGAGCACUAAUAAACCUAGUCAGCUGGAAUCCUCUAAAUCCAGCAGUUGUUGUGUGGAUGAUUACACACAGGGGAGUGAUUUUCAAAUGGCAGAUAGGCAUUUUAGGAAGAAUAUAUCUGAAUUAGAGAGGAGUGACCUUAAGGGUGAAGCAAAUAUAAAGGGAGAUUCUAGUGACUCUGAGGUAGAACUUGUGAGUGAAUUGCAUGAUGGAAUGAGAUCUGAAAAUUUUGGUUAUUUUGGAGAAGC
rnacentral:misc_RNA from 1 species